AGCCAACGGGUUUGUCAUGCGUGCUUCGCGUCUUUGCCUUCACCACCUCCCUGUCCUUUCUUAUCUAUCCGUCGUCGUCAUCUCCCACCGACCGAAUCCCACUCUCUUGCUCUCGCUGCAUAAUUUUAUCCUUGUCCAACAAGUAAGUGAUGAGGGCGUAUUUCCUCCGGGCGACGCAGGGAUGCAUCAAGGCUCCUCCUCGAUCGAUUCCUUCUUCAACGACGUGAAGGAAGGGGUAGAUGAGAUGAUCGUUUCCUUGGCCAACGACCCCACCGUUGGGCUCUUCUUCGUCCAGCAGCACGCCCAUGCCUCCAUGCCCUAUCUCCUCGGAGUCAAGGACAAGGUUAGGAAGAAAAUUCAUGAAGUAAGCUUACACACUGAAAACAUGGAAGAUUCUAUUUGUUCAGUGAGGUCAAUGGCAGAGUGUGGCACUCCAAUUGCUGAUGGGAUGAUCGAAGACAUUAAUAGAUCACUACAAUUGAUGUCGGCAUCCAAACUUAAGAGAGGUUUGACUCGCGACACAAGUUGGGGUUUUCGAGUAAGCAACCCAAACACCGGCAAUUCAUUCAGUCACAGAUAUCUGUCUUCUAUUUUCGACUCAGUGAAGCAGAAAGCAACUCGACUCGGAUGGCCCCAGUCAAGUACAGUGAAAGACUACAAGUGUGAUCGAUCCUCAUCCGAGGCCUCCUCGCAAGUAUCCAGAGAAGGUACCCAUACAGAUACAGAAGGUGAGGAAUUGCCUUUAUCGAGCCAACUUGUGGAAGGUCAGUUUGAGAAUAUUGAGACAUUGUGCAUUGACGCGUCUGUGUUGCAAGGCUACGGCGCGUUUAAAUCCGAGCAAGAGGCUAAAUUUAAGGAAUGGCUUCAAGAACCUGAGAGGCACGACUGAUCCAAUCAGUUCAGUGAUCAGUACUUUACUUUGUUGUAAACCUGGAGCUGCUGUAUGUCAUAUUAGAAGUCCUCGGAAUCAUAGUAUCGAGGUUGGAUAUUCAGAUUGUCAUACAGGCUGGAACCGAUUGUCGGGCUACUGGCGGAGCUGCACCGGGAAAUUAAUCGGCUGGCCGGAGUUGACUUCUCUCUGGCCGCUGCGUGCGCCACGCUCACGUAACGCUUCUUCACGUUGGCGCUCUGCUCGGUGACCAACC